ensembl:lncRNA
GUUUCAUUUAAAAUAAAGAAGUAUUAAGAAGAGAAACAGAUACGUAAGUUAUCAAAGUGUGAUAGCAGAGGUUUUGUAUGAAGGCCUUGAGAAGAUGAAAGGGUGCAUCUUUAAUAGAUUCAUACGUGCAUCCUGAUGAUGCUGGUGGCACUUCCUUCAAGUUCAAGAUCUGGACUCAGUUUGAUUGGCUUCCAGUGGAUAAAUUCCCACCCCCAGAGGAAAGAUGGAAAUUUUGGAGAAGAAUGAUUGAUUAUUGCCUGAGAGAUCUGGACUGCGUAAAUGAAUUAAAGAUGCAGUUCUGCAAUCUCUUUCCAUUUCCUUUAGCAGACAUGACAGGGAAGAUUCCUGGGAGAUCUGAAUGAAUCCUCUUGCUGUAUGCCCU